rnacentral:rRNA from 1 species
ACUUAAAUUGAAGAGUUUGAUCAUGGCUCAGAUUGAACGCUGGCGGCAGGCCUAACACAUGCAAGUCGAACGGUAGCACAGAGGAGCUUGCUCCUUGGGUGACGAGUGGCGGACGGGUGAGUAAUGUCUGGGAAACUGCCCGAUGGAGGGGGAUAACUACUGGAAACGGUAGCUAAUACCGCAUAACGUCGCAAGACCAAAGAGGGGGACCUUCGGGCCUCUUGCCAUCGGAUGUGCCCAGAUGGGAUUAGCUAGUAGGUGGGGUAAC